AACCUCAUUGACCAGAAGGGAUUCCUUCCGGUUGAUGAGGUAUAGCUUCCUCAUUGACCGGAAGGAAUCCCUUCCGAUCAAUGAGGAA
rnacentral:miRNA from 1 species